AGGGUUUUGGAGAGCCACAUAGUUUAAUACUACAAUUGGGGGAAUGCAGGAAACAUUCUUGAAUGCAGGCAUUACAGAAUAUACAAACAGGCUCAAAACCUUCUUCUUAGAUUCCGGUCCCUGACGUACAUCCAGUUUGGGAUGAAUGCUGUGAGAAAAUCAUGUUCUCAGGUUAGUUACACUGAGGCAGUUAUCCGGACAACAUCCAGUUCAAGACAAGAACCAAUCCUAAAUGGGGCAACCUAACUCACACUGACCCAUGUUAGAGUCAACAGUUAACCUAGUAUAUACAUCUUUGGGAUGUAGGAGAAAAUCAGAGGAAGAGAACUUCAGGAAAAAACGAUGCAGACGCAGGAAGAAUGUAAAAAUUCCACAAAGGCAAGAGCCAGGCAGAAGUCUGAAUACAGCUUCCUUUUAUUAUUUUUAUGAUAAAUUUCAUAAAAAAAUGUAUUACAUAAUUUGUGAAUAAUGUUUUUCUUUUUGUGAAGUCAUUGUCAAUUUGUUCACUUUGUAAUUCUCAUAUACCACAGGGAAAGUUUUCUUCUUACUUUUAUUAUA